UGGGGAAUAUUGCACAAUGGGCGCAAGCCUGAUGCAGCCAUGCCGCGUGUAUGAAGAAGGCCUUUGGGUUGUAAAGUACUUUCAGCGGGGAGGAAGGCGAUAAGGUUAAUAACCUUGUCGAUUGACGUUACCCGCAGAAGAAGCACCGGCUAACUCCGUGCCAGCAGCCGCGGUAAUACGGAGGGUGCAAGCGUUAAUCGGAAUUACUGGGCGUAAAGCGCACGCAGGCGGUCUGUCAAGUCGGAUGUGAAAUCCCCGGGCUCAACCUGGGAACUGCAUUCGAAACUGGCAGGCUAGAGUCUUGUAGAGGGGGGUAGAAUUCCAGGUGUAGCGGUGAAAUGCGUAGAGAUCUGGAGGAAUACCGGUGGCGAAGGCGGCCCCCUGGACAAAGACUGACGCUCAGGUGCGAAAGCGUGGGGAGCAAACA
rnacentral:rRNA from 1 species